UAUGGUCAUAUCCCAUUGAAACACCAGUUCCUGUGUGAACACUGAAGUUAAGCAACAUCGAGUCUGGUCAUUACAUAGAUGGGUGGCCACUUUGGAAUACCAGGUACUGUA